GACGAACGCUGGCGGCGUGCUUAACACAUGCAAGUCGAACGGAAAGGCCCUGCUUUUGUGGGGUGCUCGAGUGGCGAACGGGUGAGUAACACGUGAGUAACCUGCCCUUGACUUUGGGAUAACUUCAGGAAACUGGGGCUAAUACCGGAUAGGAGCUCCUGCUGCAUGGUGGGGGUUGGAAAGUUUCGGCGGUUGGGGAUGGACUCGCGGCUUAUCAGCUUGUUGGUGGGGUAGUGGCUUACCAAGGCUUUGACGGGUAGCCGGCCUGGGGGGGUGACCGGCCCCAUUGGGCCUGAGAUACGGCCCAGACUCCUACGGGGGGCAGCAGGGGGGAAUAUUGCACAAGGGGCGGAAGCCUGAGGCAGCAACGCCGCGUGCGGGAUGACGGCCUUCGGGUUGUAAACCGCUUUCGCCUGUGACGAAGCGUGAGGGACGGUAAUGGGUAAAGAAGCACCGGCUAACUACGU
rnacentral:rRNA from 1 species